rnacentral:rRNA from 1 species
GGAAUUUUGGGCAAUGGGCGAAAGCCUGACCCAGCAACGCCGCGUGAGGGAUGAAGGCCUUCGGGUCGUAAACCUCUGUCGGGAGGGACGAAAGGCGCGCGGGUGAACAAUCCGCGUACUUGACGGUAACUCUAAAGGAAGCGCCGUCUAACUCCGUUCCAGCAGCCGCGGUAAUACGGAGGGCGCAAGCGUUGUUCGGAAUUACUGGGCGUAAAGCGCGUGUAGGCGGCCAGGUAAGUCGGAUGUGAAAGCCCGGGGCCCAACCCCGGAACUGCACCCGAUACUGCUUGGCUGGAGUCCCGGAGAGGAUGGCGGAAUUUCCGGUGUAGAGGUGAAAUUCGUAGAUAUCGGAAGGAACACCAGUGGCGAAGGCGGCCAUCUGGACGGUGACUGACGCUGAGACGCGAAAGCGUGGGGAGCGAAC